rnacentral:tRNA from 1 species
GCCGCCGUAGCUCAGCCCGGGAGAGCACCCGGCUGAAGACUAGGCUCAGGUACCGGGUUGUCCGGGGUUCAAAUCCCCGCGGCGGCA